UGCUGUGUUAGGCAUCCUGGUUACUGAGAGACAGCUGCAGCGUGUUAAGCUCUUAGCAGUGUUUUUUUUUGCCUCCACAGCAGUCAGACUUCCAGAGCACCAGGAGAGAAGGGAAGCACUUACUCACAAAAUAGGUCAACUUGCAAACUUUAAGUUCAGAACUUCCGUUUUCUCAGUGAUGUGGGAGGAAGAACUAACUUAACUUAUGUUCCUUGGAGCCCGUAUGUUCAUUCCACCCUUUGAAGGACAGUGCAGGUCCAUCACUACACCCUGGUAAUGCUUCUGUGACCUUCUGAGAGUUCCUGCCCUGGGGACGUUGCUUUCAAGCUUUGGCAUUGACUGUGUCCAAAUAAAGUUUGUCAGAAGGACUCCAAGCUCUCACUGGGAACAGAAGACAGAGAGUGGAUAAUGAACAGAGCUAAAAGGGCCUGUGCAGCAUUAUGGAUCGCUACACUGGAAAUAAGGAAUGCAUCUUCCAGUUCUAUGACCAAACAAGUGAUGGAAUGAGUGACUCUUUCCUUGCGACUUGUAAAAGAAAGGUUGCUAUCUUCCUGUUCUCAGGAAAGGUCAAAACAAGGUUUCAGUACGUUGGAGACUGGUAUGCAUAUGAUGUGAUCUCCAAAACUGACAAUAUGUGAACUAUAUGAUCCAUUGCAAAGAAGGCCCCAAACCUGAAGACUUCAUUCUUUCUUACUCGAGAAUAAUAUAUAUUCAAGUCAGCGAGUAUUUUGAUUGAAUGAGGGCAGUGAAACUAGUCCAUAGUGGAAAUCAUUUUACAAAGAGGGUUCCACAGAUGGGCAUUUAAAGCCCUCGUGUCAAUCCUACCAAAGUGAGGAACCAACGGAGUACCAUUGACUUCAGUGGGAACAUUUUGAAGAACUGAGUGUUCAUUGUGAAUCAUGCACACACAGCAGAGAAAGAACAGAGCCUACCACAGCCUGUGAGCAGCAACAAAUUUCAGCUGGAUGACUGCAUAAGGGGUUUGCAAGACCGCCAGUAAUUUUUUAUAUUCAGAGUUAAAUCGAGCAAUAAGAUGGAAUUUAAGCUUUAGUGCAAUGGAUUGAGGCUCUUCAGUCAAUCAAAUUAUAGUUCAAUCAGAUCAUUUUAAUCACUUCUCUGGAGAGAAGUAAACCCCUAUGUUGAAGAAUAUGCAGCAAUUUUAUUGAUGGAAAGUUUAAUUGUUUCAUUUUUCCUUACCGUCUGUAACACACUAGACUUUUAAUCAGCGGGAACUGAAGUUAUAAUGAAGUAAAGUCCACUUUCCACAGUUCACAACUAGCUGAAAAUAAUUGGGUUGAGACUCCCAUCCAGACAGUGUAAUGCCUCUGGCAUUUUCCUGAAAACUAUACUUAAUUGCUUUGCUGAUGUUGUUAAGUGGUCCUGAGGGGGAUGAAGUAGUAAAGCUGCCCACAUAUGCAGGGAAACAAUACACAAAAAAAUGUCUUACAAGGUCCUUAAAGAAGGACCAGCUAGUGACUAGAAGACAAUAUAUGGCUUUUUUUGUUGUGGUUUUUUUUUUCCUUUUCUAUAGCAGAGAGAACACACGGUGGAGACUGAUAAAAUAAACUGGAAAUUCUAUAAACACUAUAUUUAUUUAAGGGCAGAAAGCAUCAAGGCAGACCUCUUGCAACCUGCAACUUAAGGCUAACCUAACUCGCUUGGCAUCUUUAGUGCUGAACGCUGGUGAGUGCGCUGCCUGUCUUCAGCACCUUGGGCUGUGGAACAGAUGUACUCUUGUCCCCAGGGAGGCAGGACAGCUUGCUCUCUGUGCUCUGAAGUGACAGGCUGUGAGCUAGCUAUGAGCUGAAAGGCUCAUCCAGGCAUCAGUGGGACCCGCAAGUGUACCUCAUUAGUCUCUAAACAUAACCAGAGAAGGAAUAACACUUCGGAAUUUCUCCUUAUUUAGUGCAUUCAUAGGAGACUCUCCUCAGUUGGAUGGUGUUCAUUUAAAACAGUGAAUUAACUGCUAGACUCAAGGAUAUGCUGAUGCAGAAGUACCUUAGUUGUUUAAGAGAGAAAAAUAUUUAGGACACAUGAACUAAGUAGUGUCCAUGAAUUCAGGGUUGGAACUGGAGCUGUUUUGGGGAAGCAAGGACAACAGGGCUGGUUUACCUUUCAGCAAGGAGGUUUUUUUUCUUUCUUGUUUAUUUAUAUAUGCAGGCACAGUAGAGUCUCUCUCUCAACAGCCUGACCUUCCUCAGCUGAUAUCUGUACAAACCUCAGUAUGGCCUUUGUUUGUUUUAUUCUUGCCUUCACAGGCAAGCUGAGCAACUGCCCCCUGAGGACUUCCUAGAAAUGAACAUAGGCAAAAUUCAGUCAAUGAAUUCUAAAGCUGAAAUCAAGUUAGUACCUUGAAUUUUGGCCAGCAAAGCUCUCUUGGCACUUGAAGUGAUGCUUUUUCUGUGGAAAUAUGCUUAAGUCUAGAUGGGACUUGUGUACCUUGGCAUAUAGCCCCACAUUAGCCUGACCAAUCCCCAUAAUAUUAAUAAGCUUUAACACCUAUUUUUCCUAUUGUGAAAUAGUAACUGCCCAUGUGCUGGAACUGCCAGCCAUGUGCCAAGGAGACAAAGCUGUCAGUUUUUAGAAUAGCUCUGGGAGUAGCCCAUUGUGUCAAAUCUACUCUGCUUGCUGCCUCUGAGAGAACAGCUCAGCACAAGCAGUGGUUGUGCUCUGCUCUUCCCUUUGGAAGAUGAGUAAUGUGGUGUGGAAUGGUUCUAGCAAUUGCAGCAAAUGAGGACUAUGUUGUGACAAUUGCUGGGAGACUCUGCUUGGGGGUUGUUCUUCUACUGAUGCUGAAGGACUGCAGGAACCCAGGCCAGUCGUCACUGCAAAGGUGAAAACCAACCUGAUGUGGCUGGCUGAAAUUUGCCACUGUGUUGUUUCGUUGGCUUAGAGGGUAUUCUCUCUUGAUCUUUUGGAGACAGGUUCUCCAUCCCAGAAGGAGGAGGGCUUCCUGGAAGUGUAACGCAAUACUGUGCAGCACUGCUGGCCAGCUGGACCUCGCUUCUAAGCAAGCCUGCUUGCUGAGUCUUAUGUGCUUUGAAGUGUCACCCUAGAGCUGAACAGAAACAAGAGGGAACAAAUGAUUUGACACACAUUCUUCUGAUUUGACAUACUGUAAGAUUACAACAGGGUGUGUCCUCAGGAAGAAAUCCAAAAUACAUGUUUCUGUACAGGCACAAAUCUGACUGUUCCCCUGAUAAACUGUUGAUAUGUAAAGAUGCAGUUUGCAUGGUUGUCACCAAAGCCAGUGUGUGUAUUCAUUUAUGGAAACUCAUCAGACACUAUAAUGUGUAAUAUGCCUUUGAUACGUUGGCAUCAAAGGCAUCUGAAUGAUUUUUUUUUAACAGCUGAAUGGUGUAUGUUUAAACAUAAACAUGUAUUCUGUGUUUCUACUGCACUGUCUGUAUUCUUUAUUUCUAUAUUUUCCCUUGACUAAAAGUUUGAUUCAAACCCAGAAGAACUGUGGGAUUCAUCAAAGAAAUGCAGUUUUUGUAGUAUUUCAGCAGGUGUGCAAUGUGCAUAUCUUUUCAUAGAUGAGAGGGCAUUUAAAAGAGGAUUUUUUUGCCCUUUCGGUAGCCAGAACAAACUGAGUUUCCAGGCAAAAUAAAAAUGUGAUUUGACUAAAAGUUUGUUAAAUGAAAAAAAUAUUGUUUUAGUGUUGGGCAGGCUCUGUAAUAUAUGGAUUUACUGUAAAGCAAUCCAUGUAAUAGCAGUGUAUUAAACCAUGA